GAGUCUGACUAUCAUGGAAGGGAAGUAAAUGUUGGAUAAUCUCUAUGUUAUUACUGCAGUUUUAGUUUAUGGAAGUAGGAGAAGUAAGUGGUGAACUUUUCUGCCUCAAUAUCAAAUAUCAAGGGAUACGGUGCCUUAAUGGUUAAGACACCAGUUCUAAUGAUCUGAAGAUUGGAAGGCUGGCAGUUUGAGGCCCGAGUGCUUCGUGAUGGGUGGUGUAGGAACCAUGCCUAGUGAAGUGGAGUGAUGAUGAAGAUGUGGAUUAUCCUGGAUGCAGAAGAUGGGAGAGUUUUCUGCAGACGACUUUGAAACAAAACUGUUGAAGAUCAAGUGUAUGUGAUCCAAAGGCUUAGAUGUUCGGUGAAUACACUUCUGAACCCUUUCCAAACCUCCAUGUAAACAUAUCCUUGACCUAAUAGUUAAACCAGCCUUGACAUGUAUUUUCUAGUUUUACAAUAGAGCCAUCU